UGAGUAACGCGUAUCCAACCUGCCCAUCACUUGGGAAUAACCUUGCGAAAGUAAGACUAAUGCCCAAUGACAUUUAUAGAAGGCAUCGGAAAUGAAUUAAAGAUUUAUCGGUGACGGAUGGGGAUGCGUCUGAUUAGCUUGUUGGCGGGGUAACGGCCCGCCAAGGCUACGAUCAGUAGGGGUUCUGAGAGGAAGGUCCCCCACAUUGGAACUGAGACACGGUCCAAACUCCUACGGGAGGCAGCAGUGAGGAAUAUUGGUCAAUGGGCGAGAGCCUGAACCAGCCAAGUAGCGUGCAGGAUGACGGCUCUAUGGGUUGUAAACUGCUUUUAUAGGGGAAUAAAGUGAGCCACGUGUGGUUUUUUGCAUGUACCCUAUGAAUAAGGACCGGCUAAUUCCGUGCCAGCAGCCGCGGUAAUACGGAAGGUUCGGGCGUUAUCCGGAUUUAUUGGGUUUAAAGGGAGCGUAGGCCGGAGAUUAAGCGUGUUGUGAAAUGUAGAUGCUCAACAUCUGCACUGCAGCGCGAACUGGUUUCCUUGGGUACGCAUAAAGUGGGCGGAAUUCGUGGUGUAGCGGUGAAAUGCUUAGAUAUCACGAAGAACUCCGAUUGCGAAGGCAGCUCACUGGGGCGCAACUGACGCUGAAGCUCGAAAGCGCGGGUAUCGAACAGGAUUAGAUACCCUGGUAGUCCGCGCGGUAAACGAUGGAUGCCCGCUGUUGGGCCAACUGGUUCAGCGGCCGAGCGAAAGCAUUAAGCAUCCCACCUGGGGAGUACGCCGGCAACGGUGCAACUCAAAGGAAUUGA
rnacentral:rRNA from 1 species